rnacentral:rRNA from 1 species
AGCUAAAAUGCUAGCUUAAACAGCGAGAUUAGCCACCCCCUAUUCGUACUCGCCCAUAAAUCAAAGCCCACAACUAAAGCAUUCUACCACCCCAGUACGGGAGACAGAAAAGGACCCCAAAGCCAUAGAGAAAGUACCGCAAGGGAAAGCUGAAAGAGAUGUGAAAUAGAUCCCUUAAGCAUAGAGAAGCAGAGGUUAACCCUCGUACCUUUUGCAUCAUGGUUUAGCCAGUACAAUCGGGCAUAGAGAGCUCUAGUCCGCCACCCCGAAACCAGACGAGCUACCCCGGAACAGUCUAAGAAGGACCAACCCACCUCUGUGGCAAAAGAGGGGGAAGAUUCCCGGGUAGAGGUGAAAAGCCUACCGAGCCUGGUUAUAGCUGGUUGUUCGGGAAAUGAAUCGAAGUUCAGCCCCGAGAGUCUCAAAUCAAAAUGGUAAUACCUUAUUACGACCAAGAGACCCCUACGGGAGUUAGUCCAAGGAGGUACAGCUCCUUCGACAAGGGAUACAACCCGCCAGGGAGACCAAGGAGCAUAUUUAACUAAGGCAACGGGUUUUGGUGGGCCUGAAAGCAGCCACCCAUGAAGAAAGCGUUAUAGCUCAGACCCGACCACGCCUAUCAUUAGGCUUCUACACUCCGAAGCCCCCUGUAACCACCGAACCGCUCUAUGCUUGCAUAGAAGAGACCCUGCUAGAACUAGUAACAAGAAGAUUGAACUUCUCCCCGCAUAUGUGUACGCCGGAUCGGACACCCCACCGGCAAGUAACGGACCCACUAAGAGAGGGUAACGCGUUCGAGCCACAGAAGGCCAAGAAAAGAACGCCCCAAUUUCCGCUACUCCCACACAGGUAUGCCACCAGGGAAAGACCGAAGCAAAGAAAAGGAACUCGGCAAACCUAAACCUCGCCUGUUUACCAAAAACAUCGCCUCCUGUUCCUGAACCAUAGGAGGUCCCGCCUGCCCUGUGACUAGUAGUUUAACGGCCGCGGUAUUUUAACCGUGCAAAGGUAGCGCAAUCAAUUGUCUUUUAAAUGAAGACCUGUAUGAAUGGCAUCACGAGGGUUUAGCUGUCUCUUCUUUCCAGUCAGUGAAACUGAUCUCCCCGUGCAGAAGCGGGCAUUUUUACACAAGACGAGAAGACCCUAUGGAGCUUUAGGCUCCCACCACCCCCGAGCAGUAGAAGAGAACCCUGUCACCUAAAGCGAAGUAUGACCCGGGAACCUUCGGUUGGGGCGACCACGGGAGACAGAGUAGCUCCCGAGCGGAUUGGGCCACGCCCAAAGUCUAGAGGGACACCUCCAGAUCGCAGCACAUCUGACCGAUAAUGAUCCGGCCUCGGCCGAUCAGCGAACCAAGUUACCCUAGGGAUAACAGCGCAAUCCCCUCCCAGAGUCCCUAUCGACUAGGGGGUUUACGACCUCGAUGUUGGAUCAGGACAUCCUAAUGGUGCAGAAGCUAUUAAGGGUUCGUUUGUUCAACGAUUAAAGUCCUACGUGAUCUGAGUUCAGACCGGAGUAAUCCAGGUCAGUUUCUAUCUGUGAAGCGGCCACCCCUAGUACGAAAGGACCGGAGUGGCGGGGCCCCUGUUAACGAUAUGCCCCCCUCCCACCCGAUGACCUCUACUAAAAAGGCCAAGGGAGAGCAACCCACCACCCAAGACUAAGGGCUAU